AUAAACAAGAUAGUGAAAUCCAGGGUCACCCAAUUUGGGGAGUCUAUCGGCAUUGAUUUCUUUAUGAUAGCAAAGAGGCUGUUUGGAGCAUAUUUACUGGUCAACUUUUUGAUGGGAGUCCAGCAACACGGUGGGCGUCUAUAGCUUUCGGUGCUGGAGUGGGGAUAGGUUCGGCUUACUCAGAGUGCUCUCUUAAAUUUGACGAAUCUCCCCCCCAAAUCGACCUCUAAUGUAUCCAGUACCCCUCUACCUGAGGGUGAUGAGUGAAGUUGAGAUUGUUGGGCAUGCUUUCUCAUUUGGAACUUCUGUUUUCUUCUUCAUUGGUUGUUCUGAUGGUGUAUUUCCUGGAGACCGUUUGGCUACUAUAUCCCACUCUGUGAUGUGUUACAUAAUUUUUUGUUAUGGAAAAUUGUCAUUUGAAGUACAAUUUUGGUUAACUUAUGG